GGCUUCGUGGUCGAAUGGUAAAGACACUUGCCUCUCACUUUGGAGUCCUGGAAUCCUGGAGUUCGAUCCUCAGUCAAGGAGUUA